UACGAAGGGGGCUAGCGUUGUUCGGAAUUACUGGGCGUAAAGCGUGCGCAGGCGGCUUGCCAAGUCAGAUGUGAAAGCCCCGGGCUCAACCCGGGAACUGCGUUUGAAACUGGCAGGCUAGAGUUUGGCAGAGGGGGGUGGAAUUCCACGUGUAGCAGUGGAAUGCGUAGAGAUGUGGAGGAACACCGAUGGCGAAGGCAGCCCCCUGGGCCAAAACUGACGCUCAGGCACGAAAGCGUGGGGAGCAAACAGG
rnacentral:rRNA from 1 species